rnacentral:rRNA from 1 species
UGGGGAAUAUUGCACAAUGGGCGAAAGCCUGAUGCAGCAACGCCGCGUGAGUGAUGAAGGUCUUCGGAUUGUAAAGCUCUGUCUUUUGGGACGAUAAUGACGGUACCAAAGGAGGAAGCCACGGCUAACUACGUGCCAGCAGCCGCGGUAAUACGUAGGUGGCGAGCGUUGUCCGGAUUUACUGGGCGUAAAGGGCGCGUAGGCGGAUGUUUAAGUGAGAUGUGAAAUACCCGGGCUUAACUUGGGUGCUGCAUUUCAAACUGGAUAUCUAGAGUGCAGGAGAGGAGAAUGGAAUUCCUAGUGUAGCGGUGAAAUGCGUAGAGAUUAGGAAGAACACCAGUGGCGAAGGCGAUUCUCUGGACUGUAACUGACGCUGAGGCACGAAAGCGUGGGUAGCAAACAGGGUUAGAUACCCUGGUAGUCCACGCCGUAAACGAUGAGUACUAGGUGUAGGAGGUAUCGACCCCUUCUGUGCCGCAAUAAAACACAUUAAGUACUCCGCCUGGGAAGUACGAUCGCAAGAUU